rnacentral:rRNA from 1 species
AGGACGAACGCUGGCGGCGUGCUUAACACAUGCAAGUCGAGCGGUGAUCCUCCUUCGGGAGGUGAUCAGCGGCGAACGGGUGAGUAACACGUGGGCAACCUGCCCCUCACACUGGGAUAACCUCGGGAAACCGGGGCUAAUACCGGAUACGACCUCGAGCGGCAUCUCUUGAGGUGGAAAGCUCCGACGGUGAGGGAUGGGCCCGCGGCCUAUCAGCUUGUUGGCGGGGUAAUGGCCCACCAAGGCGAUGAUCGGUA